GCGAAUAGCAAGCAUCGGCCCUUGGGACUGGUUCUCCGGCGUCGUGGGUUCUCGGCUCCAGCAUAUCCGGUUGCGGUGGCGGCGCUGGUUCUGGGCUGGGUUUGAAACCGACAGGCGACGGCGGGGACGGCAAGUGUUCUUGGUGCUAGGCGAUCUCAGCCACCACGGCAUGUGUUCUCGGUGCCAGAUUUGUUCUAUUUUUAGCAUUUUAAAAUACCCCUUUGACCGACAAGAGCUGUUUCAGAAUAGUGUUGAAGAACUUCCAACACUCAUAUAAAUAUGCAUUGAUUGAAUUGAGUGAUAUAUUAGAGUAACAAUAAGUUUCAA